CUUUAGAAUUUUACUAUAUNNNNNNNNNNNNNNNNNNNNNNNNNNNNNNAUAUAAUAAUUAUUAUGUGUAUCUGUGCAAAUGCUUCUGGUUCUGCCACAUACCAUAGUCUCUACUUUUGUGGCUAGGCUUUUAAAUUCCGGAGUUUGAGGGUCUUUCAGUGCUGGAACAAACACCUCUAUAAUGACAAUCUGUAUGGCAACAGUUGGCUGAGGACGUGCUGGUGCUGCUGUUGUGGUUGCUGCUGUUGUUAUUGUGGUUGUUGUUGCUGUUGUUUUAGGAUUGGCAGUAGAUGUUGUUGUUGUUGUUGUUUUUGUUGUUGUUGUUGUUGUUGUGGUUGUGGGUGUUGUUGUUACAGUUGUAUUAGGUUUGGCAGUAGAUGUUGUGGUUGUUGUUGUGGUUGCUGUUGAUGCUGUUGUAUUAGGAUUGACAGUAGAUGUUGUGGUUGCUGGUGUUGUUGUUGUUGUUGCUGUUGUAUUAGGAUUGGCAGUAGAUGUUGUGGUUGCUGUUGUUGUUGUUGUUGCUGUUGUAUUAGGAUUGGCAGUAGAUGUUGUGGUUGCUGUUGAUGCUGUUGUAUUAGGAUUGACAGUAGAUGCUGUGGUUGCUGUUGUAUUAGGAUUGGCAGUAGAUGUUGUGGUUGCUGUUGAUGCUGUUGUAUUAAGAUUGGCAGUAGAUGUUGUGGUUGUUGUUGUUGUAAUAGGAUUGGCAGUAGAUGUUGUGGUUGUUGGUUCAGCCGUAGAUGUAAGUUGUGUGGUUGUUGUUUCUGUAGGAGGGGCUGUAGUUGUAAACAGAGUUGCAGUUGUAGGUGAGUUUGUUGUAACCUCAGUUGUGGAUUGA
ensembl:lncRNA